rnacentral:rRNA from 1 species
ACGACUCUCGGCAACGGAUAUCUCGGCUCACGCAUCGAUGAAGAACGUAGCAAAAUGCGAUACUUGGUGUGAAUUGCAGAAUCCCGUGAACCAUCGAGUUUUUGAACGCAAGUUGCGCCCGAAGCCUUUCGGCUGAGGGCACGUGUGCCUGGGCGUCACGC